AUUGAACGCUGGCGGCAGGCCUAACACAUGCAAGUCGAGCGAGCGGCGGACGGGUGAGUAAUGUCUGUGAAACUGCCAGAUGGAGGGAGAGAACUACUGGAGACGGUAACACAUCCCGCAUACCAUUAGAUCUGCCCCGGUGGGGUUAGCUAGUGGGUGGGGUAACGGCCCACAAAGGCGACGAUCCCUAGCUGGUGUGAGAGGAUGACCAGCCACACUGGAACUGAGACACGGUCCAGACUCCGACGGGAGGCAGCAGUGGGGAAUAUUGCACAAUGGGCGAAAGCCUGAUGCAGCCAUGCCGCGUGUGUGAAGAAGGCCUUCGGGUUGUAAAGCACUUUAAGCGGGGAGGCGUUACCCGCAGAAGAAGCACCGGCUAACUCCGUGCCAGCAGCCGCGGUAAUAC
rnacentral:rRNA from 1 species